CCUGUGAACAAAAACAACGAAGCGUUUCAGUCGGCAAUAUUACAAAAUUUUGAUUUGCAAAAUUAUAUCAGACAACAUAGCAGCUCUGUAAGCAACAGCUUAUUGAAAGUGAUAAUAAUUGAGUUUCUCGAAUUUAUUAAAUUAAAAUAGUCAUGAAAAGAUAGAUUCCGUUCUCUUUUGCUACGUUAAACUUUGUAUAUUGAACGCGUUAUAUUGUUUGCGGUAAACAUGCGCAACACCGCCGUGAUUGGACGUCGCGCACGUAUUGAAUAUGAUAUACAACGUGACCUCGUAUGCGCGCAAAUUGAACUAAUCCUUGAUAAUGAACCAUUAUGGCGCGGGGAAACAUCGCUCGUAGCAUCGCUCGGCUUCUCGCGAUAUCGUAGAUGCAGUCGCUUGACCGCGCGAUUAGUAACUUAACCGGGAAUAGACGUGCAUAAUCCCUGAACAUUUAUCGUUUGUUGUGUUAUGCAGCAGAUCGGUUUACGACGAUGCCGCGGAUACAGUCCGCAAAGAUAAUACAGAGGACAUCCGGCAAAUUGUACUACAACUGACAGGUUGUAAAAUAUGAAGAGAACGUAAAUGAGAAUACUGCAGAGAAUGAAAUGGGGAUAAAUGACGCAUGUAAAACACACGUGCAACAUACAGGCUCUAUUCUCGUUGUUCAUUGGCCAUGCCAUCGAUUAAGUUUAUUAUAAAUACUAUUGUAUAAAUUUUCACGUCCAUCACGUAAAUAUAACGACAAAGAAGAAUAACACAAAAAUAUUUCGUAUCUAGGUUGGAAGAAUAAAUUGUGAACCACUCUAUAUAUUUGCUCACGAAAUUCGAUAGAAUAUGAAAUGGAACUAUACACGUAAUCAUAUCGGAAUGCGAUAUAACGAAAUUAAUGAAUAAUUAAAUAAAUCAGCGACGGCUGACUGUAAAUAAUUUAAAUUAAAUUACAUGAAAAA